GCCUGUUUAAUGUUUGCCAGCUGCACUGCACUGAGUACUUAAUGUUUAACCAGUGCCAGAUAGGAGGCCUGGGAUUAGUGUUCCAACUCUAAGAAGAGAAAUGUAAUAAAUUCACUAUUUCAUAGAAAAGACAACUGUUAACUCCUAUUUAGUGAUGAAUUAAUCAUUUUGAGUAAUUUUUUUUCUGUUCCACUUUCAUACAUCAUUUGUUACUGUGAGAUUGAAAAAAGUAGUUAACAUUAUUUAGAAUAGAAAACCCUGAUGCCUAUUUUCUAUUGAUUUCAUGUUUUUCUUUCCUUGAUUAUAAGGAAUCCCAUUUUGACUGCGUGUCACUCUGUCAUACACCACAAUCAUACCCAGGAAGGAUGAAACAUAAAUAAAUCUACAUAUCAUAAGGAGACUCCAUCAACACCAUAUUCAUCACUGACUGAUCUACUCGGACUUGGUCCUGGAGAUUGAUGUGGCUUGAGGCACACAGCCCCCUUUAAGGUGUCUUCUCAGAGCCCCAAGUCCCACUAGAGGUCUCAGGGAGACUGCUGACAUACUUAUUAAUGUCCUGUUAUUGGAAGUCAUCCCAAGGACUACAAUCAAGAUGAAGCAGCCCCUGCCUGAUCUUCUUGUCUAACAUGUGGGCAUUCACCAAUGAUGAAGUUGUCCUGGCUGAAACACUUGACACCAGUUUCUACAUUGGUAUCAACCAUCAUCUUGUCAACCAUCCUAAACUCCAAUACAAUGUCCCCUUUCAGUAGGAAAAAGUAAGAGAGAGACUUUGCCCUUUCCUAACAAUAAAAAGACUAGAAUGAAAGGAUUUUGCCCUAGAUAUGAUAUUCACAGCAGUGGGAGGUGGGACCAAGGGAUGUUUACCUUGAGGUCACUUUCCCCUCCCCUAUGACAACUUACCUGUGACACAAAAAGAGUCCCAAUUAUCUGGCUGCACUUCAGCAAUGCCAUCUUAAGCACCAUCCCAGUCAAAAAUUCUAUGUAUGCCCCCCACACCACAUUUCCAGCAGAGAAAUCCAGGCCCUGGUCAUGGAGUUCUCUGUGCAACCUUAGAAUAAGACUAUUUUUAUUUUAUAUUCUCCCUUUUACUGCAACAAAAAUUCUGUCAGAAAUGUCUUUCUAAUCUCCAAGUUACUCUCAUUUAGUACUUAAUUUCUCAAAAUUACUCAAACUCCAUCCAAAUACAUAAGCUGCAUCAGAGCCCCCAAGUUGAAUUGUAAGGAUGUAAAGAAACCAUCAAGUCAAACAUUUUCAGUUGUGGAUCUGAACACAUGGAAUCAAGAGAGAAAAGCACCAUAAAACACGUGAAAUAACAAAGUUCAGUGAUCCCAUUGGAGGUGAUGAUGCAGAGUCCUAAGGGAAAUUUGUCAGGGAGGCAACAAAAGUGAAAGGAGUGUAGGUCUUGUAUGAGACUACACAAAUCUAAGCUCAAGUGUCUCAGGAUACAGUGAUUCUUUUCUCCUAGUUCUCAGCAGUGGUGAAAAAACUAGCAAACUGAAAGCAGGGAAAAUGAAGAGAAGACUGUGUUUUGCUAAUAGCAGGGUUCAAAAAGAAUCAUUAAGUGAAGCUGUGGAAAACAGGAAUAUAUUCCCUUAAGUAUUUCCUUAGAUGAGUAAUCAGUAUGAACUCAAUAAUGCUUCUCUUCUUUAGACAAUCUGUUGAACAAUGGAAGAAAUUAUUCAAUUGAUAAAAUUUAUAAAAUACCAGUACUGCCCAUUCUCUGAAUUUUUUGUAUUAUGGAGUUUCCAAAGUUAUUUUCAUUUUAGUUAUCUUCUGCAUCUAAUUCACUGGAGAAGGAUUACCACAUUAUUUCCAUAAUUUAACAGAAACACACCUGGAACAUUUUAUAUGUGUUGGACUGUAAUCCACAUACUUUAGGUAUGUCUUGUGUAAUAUUCCAACAAUUCUUUUAUACUAUCCUGUUAUAUUUAUGAAUGAGACAAUGAUAUCAGAACAAUAAGAAAUUUAAAACAUCACCAAAGAUAUAAGCAAAACACACUGUCAUUCUACAGGCCAUGCUAAUCACAUCAAAGGGACUUUAAACUUAUCUAUAUUUGAAGAUGAUAGGUACAAAUGCCUAAUCUUUCUUUGUUUUUGAUACCAGAUCUAAAAGUAUGUUUUACUAAGUUCCAAUCUAAUAAUAUAUUAUUUUCUCCUCUUAUAAAUAUUUAUUUUACAGCAUGCACACAUUAUAUAAAAUAUUUUUGAAGUGGUAAACAUAUCUUCUCUCUUCACCCUGCCAUCUGCAGUCUUGCUCUGAAUGGCUAGUGAUACAUCCUUGUCUAUUUGGUAAGCAUAAGUGGUAUCAAUAUAAUGGGACCCAACAUACCAAUUUGGUGGCCUCUAUUAUUUUAAUCUUAGGAUUCUAGAGAAGCAGACAAUUGUAAUAUUUGAAGAUACAUAUAUGAGUAGUAGCUCAUAGCAAGCAAACAGUCCUUUAGACUAGAAGUGAAUAUUGCACUCAUUAUAUGAUUUAAUUGUAGCAAGGCAUUGGCUCUCUCUCUGGACUUUGAAUUGCCAUAUUUCUCUUUUCUGUGGCACAAGGAAAUAUACUGAGAAUUAUUAGGGUCACAAAUAGAAGCAACGAGUGUCCAAAGAACCAUCUUUUAUCCAUGUCUUGGGUUAAUUCUGAAUUUUGAGUAAUAAGCCCAUACAUUUUGGCUGAUACUUUCCCCAAACUGGACAUUCUUCUCAGACUCCAGCAAUUCCAGUUAAUCAGUGACAUCAGAGGAUCCCAGGAAUAUUUCAUAUUUGGUAAGUUGCUGAGCAUAGGGUUUAGCAUAUAGGUACAAUCUUGCACAAUUUAUGUAGUGAUAUCAUAAACUCAAACACACAAAAGGGUUUUCUUAGUUAAUUUUAUCUCCUUGCUGAGACAAAAUUUCCAACACCAAAAGUUAAUGGGAGAAAGGUUUAUUUAAUUGAGUUUGUAGGAGUUUCAGUACUUAAUUGGUUGUCUCCAAGGUGCUGUGGCACUUGCCAGAGGGUCAACAGCUCACGGUUUGGGAAAACAGCAAAACCAAGUGAGAGACAAGAGUCUUUCCAUCCUAUGUUGUAUGCAGGCUUAUCCUAGAGUACAUGUAGCAUUCACAUGCAUCAUCCCAGCUUUGGACAUGAACAAAUUACAAAGCCUAGAUUCAGCUAUCUUCAAAAAACACAACUUCAGUGACUGCAUGAAGCUUUUAGGGGGUGGAAAGGCAGCACAAACCAAAAUAAGGAUGCAUGUUAUGAAGUAUAGAAGAAAUAGUGUGUAUUUGUGGGCAUCUUUUCAUUGAAGAUACACAUAGCACAUUACAGCUAUCCUCACACUGAAAUUUCUCAAUAGAUAGAAAAUGUUUACAAGGAAGACUUGGAAAUCAUUUUGUAAGAUUUUCACAGAGGCUGCUUAAAGUGUACCCUUGUCCUACUAGGACAAAUCUGAAUCCACUAUCCUAAAGAGAAUAUAGAGGCAUAAAUAUCAAUCCUUGUAUAAGCACUUCAUGGAGCACUAACUACUUCAUAGACUUUGAAUGCUGUGAAAGUUUCCAGAUGUCAAAUACUACUUAAACCAUUAACUGGGACUUCAGCCAAUUGUGUUUACUUGUGUUUAUUCUAUUAAU